UGGGAUAUUCUGGACCUUUGCCAGAAAUGGUAAAGGGUAUGUGCUUAGAGCCUGCGAUACUCUGCCGGCCCCCUCUGACUUCACCUAGACGUGGGUGGAUGGAGCUCCCAGACGUGGGAGACUUUUGUCAGGUGGUCAUUCAGAAAUGGAUGAAUCACAUUCUGACUGAGAUCCCACUACACCUUCUAUAUGUUUGAUAUGACAUCCAGAGUUUUGGUGAGUUGUUUUUGUUCAUGCUCUGGAUAAGAAUGAUAUGAUUGCAACGUCAAGGGCGACGUUUGAGCUUCUGUACGAUAUUUGUUUUGUUAUGCUCUGAAAUGCUUCAUUCACUGAUGAUUUUUGCUUCGAAAUGUUUCAUAUGCCGUUGAUAUGCUUCGGAACAUUUUAUAUGCCAUUGAUAAGCUUCGAUAUGUUUCCUUUAUUACUGAUAUGCUCCAAUUACUCUAUGCCCCAUCUGUCAGGAACCAAAUAUGUAAGAUUGAAAGGACAAUUGUGCUUCUGCUCCUAAUGAUAUUAUGUCUACGAAAUUGUAUAUUCUGCCUUGUAUUUUGAAACUGUAUCUCCUUGGAAAUUGUACUAUUUUGAUAUGGAUAUGUUAGUCACUUGCUGAGCUCUUUAUGCUCACCCCGUUUGUUGAUAAAUUUUUCAGGAUAGUGUAUCGCUUGCUUAAAUGUUAAGAUUGGGCUGAGGCAGUGGAAAGUUUAGAAGAUUUUGGGCAGAUCUUUGUUAGCAUAUAUUCUUUUGUUGUAUAAGAUACUCUGCAUCUUAUGAAAUGUGAUGAUGAAUCUAAACCUGUGGAUUUUGUGUAAGAUAAAGGAUCCCUCAUGUAUAGGAUUUUGGAAUGUUAAGUUAAAUUCAUGUAAUGAUAUGAUCUUAUGGUAAUCGUUGGUUUGGUGACUGUAUAGACUUCCCCAUUUGUGAAUUUAUGUUGUGGUUAUUAUUUUGACGAGUUGAGUUCAGAUUGUAUGAAUUAUCGAGUGAUGUGUGGUAUGUUUAUGAAUUGCACAGGGUUAUGAAUUUGUAGUCUUUAGAGGUGAAAUUUUAAUCUGAAUGUUUUCUUAGUGACCUCAAAUGUGUGUUUGGAUCCUGGGUUAGUUAUGAUGAAAUUUUUAAAUAUUGUCGAUA
rnacentral:lncRNA from 1 species